CUGUUCUCAGACUAGCCAUGCACGUCUAAGUACAAACUAAAUGAUGGUGAAACUGCAAAUGGCUCAUUACAACGGUUAUGAUGUACCCGGGAGUUCCGAUGGAUAUUUCCAGUAACACUAGAACUAAUACAUGUCCCUGCGUUUAUUAGUUUCGCACAGUCCGUCGCUGAGUCAUGGUAAACAGUUGAUCGACUCGACGUCCCGGAACAGUUUCCGCCCCAUCAGCUUCGAUGGUUGGGUAUUGGCCUACCAUUGCAACAGCGGGUAACGAGGAAUUAGGGUUUGAUUUCGGAGAGGGAGCCUGAGAAACGGCUACCACAUCUACGGAUGGCAGCAGGCGCGCAAAUUACCCAAUGCAGACACUGUGAGGUAGUGACGAGAAAUAAUAAAGCGGGACUUCUGUUUCGCUAUUAUAAUGAGGAAUAACCAAAGGUCAUUCCGAUUAGCAACUGAUGGGAAAGUCUGGUGCCAGCAGCCGCGGUAAUACCAGCGUCAGUAGC
rnacentral:rRNA from 1 species